GGUUUAAGAAGAUUAUAGGAUAUGUCAUAGAAUACGAAGACCCCACCACUGGAGGCAGGCUAAUGACUACCCAGUAGAUGAGUGUGUUUAUGAGGUGAAGGGAUUAAAAAAGGACAAGGAAUACAACUUCCACAUACAGGCCAAGAAUCUUGAAGGUUUUUAAAUUAGUGAGUCUAGUGAUGUGAUUGGUCCCAUAACUCCCAAGCCCAAAUACACCAAGGUUUUGCCACCUGGUGUACCAGAGGCUGUCAACAAUUCUAUAACUUAUCUGAAAUGGGAACCACCUAAACAUAAUGGUGGCUGUAAAAUUACAGACUACCUUGUAGAAGAGAGGUUUAAGGGAACAGAGAAAUGAGUACCCCUGCACUGACCCCUCUUUACUGUCACCGAUCUUCCUCAGGACUCAGAGUGGGAGUUUAGAGUUACAGCUGUUAACUUUGCUGGAAACUGUGAGCCCAGUCUGUGCUCACCAGCAUACAAAAUCCAGGAGAAGAUUGAGUCUUUUGCAAUUGAGCAGGAUGAUGAAUCACAACAAUCAUUUGUAAAUGAAAGCAGCAGUCAUGAUGUUGUCAAUGAGAAUGAAUUUUAAAUAGGACAUGAUACAGGGCCACUUUUAAGUGAUGAAGCAGACGAGUAUGAUGAUGGUAAUGAUGAUGAAUCAUACCAUCCUUCAAGCGAUGAAAAAAGCUGUGAUGAAGAUACCAUUAAUGAUCUUGAUAUGCCCAGUAAGCCUCUCAAAUCUGAAAUGCAGCAGAAACAAGCUGCACUUGCAAGUGACAGCGAAAAGGACAGUGAAUGUGAAGAUGAUCAUGAUGAUGUCGGCAAAGUUUUACCACAGUCAGAGAAGCGAAAGACCAGGUUUUUAGAGGCCAAAAACAUCGUCUGGGAACUAUGAUAAUAAAAAACAUUCAUGUCUCUUUUGUGAGAAGUUUUGCUAGCAGGCAGUUGAUGGUAUGCAUAUCAUAUAAGCCCAUAGCUCUUUAAGUACAAAAAAUUGUGAGAUUCAUUUUUGCAUAUAGGUUCAGGAUGGAGCUGAAUAUUGAAAAAAUAUAUCCUAUAAAUUUUUUUUCAUGGACAUGUAGCAGACAGCUGUUUGCAUAAUUUAAGCAAGUAAUUAUUUUUUAACCAAAAUUUGUGAAAUUUAUCGCUCAUGACCCAUUGUUCAUGCAAGGUUUACCUAUUUAUAUUGAAACUGCAACAGGCCCAUAGAACUCCCCCCCCCCCCACUUUUUCUGAGUAUAGUAUUUUGCUAUAGUAAAGUAUCCUUUAUAUCCUGGUUGCCCCUCCUCCCCCCCCCCCCUUUUUGUUGCAAUAAGGUCGGUUCAGUAAAUAAUGUUUUUUUUUGCUUGUCAGAUAUUUUUUGAAGCCCCCCUACUUUUGAAACCCUUGCUAUGGGCUGUAAAUUGAAGUUUUAAAAAAUCCUUUACUGGUGAACAUCUAGCAGGCAAACUAGCAGGCAUAAAAUUAAAUAUGAAGAUUAUGAAUAGUAAUCAAACUCAAAAGUCCAUUAGAAUAAUCCAUAUUCGUAGCAGAGCAAACAUGGACCUCUAAAAUUAAUCUUAAUUAAUGCUUAGCCCUCUAAUUGAAGGCUUCUUCAUGUUUCAAGCCCAUGAAAAGGCAGAGUUAGUCAUAAAUUAGAAUGUUUUAUACAGUAUUAGCCAGUAUACCUUAUCCUCUUUACUUUUGAACUUCUAGGAGUUCAGCUGCAUCAAUAUGAUAAUAAAUAUAGAAUUCUUGUGAAAAUUUACGAUUUUUGUUGCAUGGGUCUAGAUUUCUAGAUCCAGGCGGUUUUGAAAUGACCACAGCCUGAGAAAUUCAUAAUACUCAGGUAAUAGUCAAAGCCUAGGGCCUUUUGUUGCAUUUUAAACACAGGAAGUUAUUAAUUGCAUGAUAUUUAUAUUUCUUGCUUGGUUGUCAGCUUUAAGCUUAAAGAGUUUUUUUUUUAUUUCGAAACUUGUAUGUUGUUUAAUGCACUAAGAAAAUGCCACUAUAUUUUGCACAAAUACUGACUGAUUGUCCUUGGUUGUUCUGUGAAAAUAAACUUAUUUUGGAUACCUUAAAAAUUAACAGCAAGAAUUAUCUAUUAACACUUGGCUUAUACAUGUGUAUCUUAUUUCAUGUCAGCAUUCUUUUUAUGUACUUUUUUGUAUAGUU